GAGUCGUUCAUAUAGUGGCAUUAUAUCUUUCUUGUAAAUUGACUACUCGGGUUCGAGUCCCAAAUCCAACU
rnacentral:tRNA from 1 species